UACGUACCGUCCAAACGUUAUUCGGAAUUACUGGGCUUAAAGGGUUUGUAGGCGGCGCUGUAAGUCGGGUGUGAAAUCCCCAAGCUUAACUUGGGAACUGCAUUCGAGACUGCAUAGCUAGAGUAUGGGAGAGGGAAGUGGAAUUUCAGGUGUAGCGGUGAAAUGCGUAGAUAUCUGAAGGAACAUCAGUGGCGAAAGCGACUUCCUGGACCAAUACUGACGCUCAUGUGCGAAAGCGUGGGGAGCAAACAGG
rnacentral:rRNA from 1 species